UUUUUUUUUUUUUUUUUUUUUUUUUUUUUUUUUUUNUUUUUUUCUUUUUUUUUUUUUUAAGCAAAAUGUUUUCCCAUGUAUUUCAUGUAUUUGCAAGCUUAGUUUUAAUUAAAUGCCAUUUACUUCUCACUAACCAGUUUAUCUUUUCAUUUUCUUGUUGCACUGUGCAGUCUGAAUUAAAGACAGGGAUUUGCAAGUGUUACAAUCAAAAGUGGGUAGAAAAGCAUGCUAAGAAUUGGGUCAUGUUGUUGAAAUCAAAUUCACUUCUGUGUUGUGCAGGAUAAAGAAUGGGGAAAAUGUGUCCUAAUAUCUUGCUGUAUCUGUCCCAACUCAUUCUUUUCAUAGGGCCUCGGCAGGGGAAUUCUAGAGCAAUGCAAUUUACCUACUGUUUUAAUAGGAAAGUCUCUGGAGGACAUUUCUAAGAACAGCCCCCUCUUGUCAAAGAAGCCAAGAUUGAAGUUCUAAGAGGAAACAGGGUUUCCUUAGGCAAUGUAGGUUCUUUGUUGAAACUGGCAACAGUGUUCCAGUUGUAGGCAAGAGGCUCUAUCCACCUCUGGAUAAAUAGAAGUGCAGAAGCUGGUGGUAUCCAGGCUGUGCAGAGCACAAACCCAGUUUCUAGGAUCUAAUAAAAAAAGGUCUUUUCUGAGCUUCUAUGGCACUCAGAUAGAACACACCAAAAAUCACCACAACUUGAAGCCACCAUAUAGGAAUGUUCAGAAUCUAACAUCUAUCCAUCCAUUCAUUCAGCAAGUUUCAAAGGCACCCUCCUAUAAGCUGUGCUUUAUCCAAGCAUAGCAUUAGGUAGGAAGAAAAAAGUAGUUACAUUCUGCCCUCUCCUUUUCCCAACUCCUACUAUUCCUAUAUUUCCUGUAAUUUCAAGUGCCUACUCAAAAUCCCCAACUGAAAACAGCUUCCAAAGGGUCCUAUAUUUAUGCCAUUUUUUCUCACCUCCUUGUAGAAUAUCAUCCGAUCCAGGUUUGCCUGAGAAACAUUUUCAAUUAAUGUUAAGUUUCAACGACAUCCUCCUCUCAGUGCAUUUGAAACUCAGAUCACAAAGAAGCUGUAUCUGCUACCUAAAGGCUAGAAAGAUCCCCAUGUUGACCUCUGACAUUUAAAAGACAGGGAUGCUUUUUAGGUUUGUUUCCCCUAAUGCAAAUAGCCCUGAGAGUGUUUGCUACAUUUCAUAGAAAGAAACUAGAGCUGUGGGUGCCUAAGGGAGUCAUUCCAACCAAGACUAGAAUUUCAAGGGAGAGAACUGAUCUGGCUCCCUUGGCUGGUACUUAUAAUACAUGAAAGUAUCACCCUCACCAUGGCAGACCACAGGGACUGAUCAGUGUGAAUUGUUAAGUUCUCGCCUCAGUGAUGCAUUGCAAACAGUUUCCCUGGAAAAGUAGCAAGUUCCUGACCACAGUAUUGUAUGCAAAUAAAUAAAUGAAUGCCCCCCCCCCCAUGAGUAGACCUCAGAAACGUCUUGUUUCAAUUGAUAGGCUGGAAGCUGGAAUCACAGAAAACAUUUGCCUUUCAGUCCCAGGUCUUUGGCCAAGAUAUAUUAUUAAAUGGUGCAUUAUUCAUGUUUCUAAUUGGGAAAAGCCUGGUUAUCAUGGGCAAUCCAGGUGUAGGUGACCUAUAGAGUAUUGAGAGAGAAAACUGAAGGUAGAAGCAUCUUAGCAGCAGCAGAGAGGCUGUAUGUUUGGGUCUGGUGUUUCAGCUAUGGCAUACCAGAGCAUAAGAAGAAGGAAAGUGCAUUGCAUGAACGAGCCCAUGGGCCUUUCUCAACAGAAUUAAUAUGAAACAUGAGGUAAGAUCAGCUGUAAGGAAAGAUUCUCUCCUUUCACACCACGUCAUGGAGAUUUUUUGAGUUAUUACGGUCAUGGCCUCUUAUUUCCCAUAUGCUGUUUGGGUAGGGCUCAGGAAUCAAUGGUGCCCCCAAUUAGCCACAUCUAGAAUGGUGGCACCUGAAAUCAGAAAAGGAUAACGGGGUUGUAGACAAAAGGCUGAUGAAGAAUAGCGGAAGACAGCAGGGAGUUACGCAGCACAUUUUGAGAUAAGUCUGUUUUAGAUCUUCUUUGGUGCUUCUAUUUUGUCUAUUUCAUGCUCCAAGCAGACAAGUAUCCAGGAAAUAUUUUGUAGUUUUUUUUAAACUUACAAUGAUUCCAACACUCAAUUAGGGGCGACCACAGAAUAUUCUACUCUAGCAAAGUUUAAAGGUAACUUGGCAAAAUCCAUCAAGUGUCUUAUAGAAAACCAAGUGGGCAAAGUAUGAUUGACACCAAGAGCAUGGAGAAUGGGAUCUUUCAGACUUGGAUCUGAAACUCUGAUCUGCCACUUAACAACUUUGUGGGCUUUGGCAAAGUACUUAACGCUUCUGAACCUCAGACUCUUGAUAUAUAAAAUGGGGAUGAUAAUAUUGUCUAUGCCUAAUUAUUUUAAGGUUAAAAGAGAUAAGGAAUAUGAAUUGUUUAUCACAAUGUGUAGCACAUGGUAAGCACUUAAUAAUGUUAAUUCCUUUAUUUCUCUUCCUUUAUUGAUGCUUUGUGGGUUUCCAUUUAACCUUUUCUUCAGUGAGUUCAUAGAAUACUGAUUUUUCUGUUUAGCAAGUCUGUUGUUUCAUAUUUUUAAAAUUAUUCUAAAUAUAAGAAAGAAUAUGAACAUUGAAUAAUACUUCCCAUUUUUGCAAAAGAUGAUCAUAAUCUACUGAGGAAAUUAGAAAUAUGCUCAUGGUAAGUAUAAAUUAGAUAACAAGAGAUGGAAUAGUCUGGUAAUUUAAACUGGGAUGGAGGGGGUAUCUUAUUAUGCGCCAGGCACCAUACAAGGUGGCAGAGACACAAAGACAUGGGAUGCAAUCAUUCAACCUCAGGGUAUAGGAAGAGAUAUAUGAACAGAAAACCUCACAGGACAAUGGAGAGUAUAAAUUAUGUUAGAUAAAGAAGUAGCACAAAGGAUGAAUGAUCACUUCUUUUUUUUUUUUUUUUUUUUUUUUUUAAUGGCCACACCUACAGCACAUGGAAGUUCUUAGGCUAGGAGUUGAAUGGGAGCUGCAGCUGCAGCUGAUGCCACAGCACACUGGAUCCAAGCCACAUCUGGAUCUACACUGCAGCUUGCAGCAACACCAGAUCCUUAACCCACUGAGCAAGGCCAGGGAUUGAAAGGCCGGGCAUCCUCACAGAGAUGACACUGGGCCCUUAAUCCACUGAGCCACAAUGGGAGCUCCUAGUGACCACAUCUGUUGAAAGUUCAGGAAAGGUUUCACAGAAGAGAAAAUGUCUAGGCUACAUAAAUAAAAGUAAGUAGGUCAGAACUUAAAUAAAAUGGAAAAAUUCACUGAAAAAUACAAUUUACUAAAACCGAUACAGACGAAGCAGAAAAUCUAAAUAGCCUUAUAUCUGUUAGAACAAUUAAAUUCAGUGUCUAAACCUUCCCACAGAGAAAACUCCAGAUCCAAAUGGUAUCACUGGCAGUUUCUAUCAAAUAGUCAAGUAAGGAAUAAUCAUACCAAAUUCCUCCCAAAAAUAGAGAAAAAGAGAACACUUCCAAAUCGAAUUUUAACCAAAAUUGGGAAAAUAAAUUACAAGGCAAUUAUAGACCAAUAUCCUUCAUGAACAGAGACUGAACAUAGAUGCAAAAAUCCUUAACAAAAGUUUAAUAAAUCUAACAUAAAAAUACAUUAUUAAAAAUUAGAAUUUAUUGCAGGAAUGCAAUAUUGGUUUUAUAUUUAAAAUUCAAUGAAAGCAAUUCACCAGUUUAGUAGGAUAGAGAAAAGCACAUCCUUAUUUCAACAGAAGCAGGAAAAAAAUCAUUUGAUAAAUUUCAAUACCCAUUCAUGAUUUAAAAGAAAAAAGAAAAAGUUUUCAGCAUAUUAGGAAUAGAUAGGAAUUUCUCAAUCUGGUAAAAGGCACUCUAUUAAAAAAUGUACCAUCAGCAUCAUACUUAAUAGUUAAUUAUAAAAUUAUUUCCCCCUAAGAUUGGAAAAAAGGUAAAGACACCUGUGUUUACAACUUCUAGUCAGCAUUUCACUGGGCAGCCUACCUUUGAAAUAAUGCAAGAAAAAUAAAGUCCACAGAUAGAAAAAGAAGUAAAACUGUCUUUAUUUUUAAGGGGCAGGCUCGUUAACAUAGAAAAUCCUAAAGGAAUCGACAUGAUGACCAAAACUAAUAGCUGCGUUUUGUAAAAUCACAAGAUACAACAUUAAUGCAUGCAAGUUAAUUACAUUUUAAUAUACUAGCAACAAAUCACUGGAAAUGGUAUUUUAAAAAUCUAUUUUAAAAAGCAUCAUAAAGCACAAACUACCUAGGAACAUGUGGUUGCUAAGGGGGAGGGGGAGGGAGUGGGUUGGACUGGGAGUCUGGGGUUAAUUGAUGCAAACUAUUGCAUUUGGAGUAGAUAAGCAACGAGAUCCUGCUGUACAGCACAAGGAACUGUAUCUAGACACUUAGGAUGGAACAUGAUGGAGGAUAAUGUGAGAAAAAGAGUGUAUAUAUAUAUGUGUGUGACUGGGUCACUUUGCAGUAUAGCAGAAAUUUGCAGAAUACUGUAAACCACCUAUAAUGGAACAAAUAAAAAUCAUAUAAAAAUAAGGGAAAAAAACCAACAAAUUUUCAAAUGUAAUGUGUGUAGUGAGUGGGACUGUGGCUCCUAAAAUAUAUGUCUACUUGGAACCUCAGAAUGUAACCCUUUUGGGGUGAAAGAGGUCUUUGCAGCUGUAAGUAAAGAUACUGAGAUGAGAUCACCCUGGAUUAGGCUAGUCUCAAAAUCCAACAACAGUGUCCUUAUAAGAGAUAGAAAAGGGGCUGAGUAGUAUUCCACUGUACAUAUGUACCAUAUCUUAAGUGUGGGAUCUAUUUUGGAUUCAUUUCUGUUCCAUUGGUCUGUAAGUCUAUUCUGUCUUCUAAUACUAUGCUGUCUUUAUUAUUAUAUCUCUACAGUAAAAAUUGAAAUAAAGCAGUAUAAAACCUCCAUUCUUUUAAAAUUACGUUGACGAUUCAGGAGCACUGCUAGAUAUUUUAAGUUAUAAUUUUGACAUGAAACCACUGAUGGGAUCAUCAGUCCUUUAUUACGUGAACAAUUACUGAAUUAAAGUUUUGUUUUCCCCUUUAGUGUAGUGCUUUUGAAAAGAGUGCAAGCAAAGAUUAGUCCUUAGGGUUAAAGGGAACUGUAAAAUUAUUGCCUAAAAAGUGUUUGUUUUUUUUU
rnacentral:lncRNA from 1 species